rnacentral:lncRNA from 1 species
AUUCCGUCUUGGUAAGUCUGACGCCUAAAUACCUGACGUGUGACAGCAAAUGCCUGUUCCCAUGGAGCUGCUGCUUCUGAGAAAGCUUGAAACAGACAAAGAAUAAGGUAGAAAUGACCUCCUCACUAGAGAUGAAAAGAAGCUGUCCUGGUGAGGAAAUUGGAUCCCAGCUUUUGCCGCUAAGAUUCUUCUCUUCUGCCUCUGGUUUUCUUUAUUGUUCACCCCCAGAAGCAAUCGCUCUCUCACAAGGCAACACACGCAAUAGAGUGAACAGUGAUUCUACAGUCUGAUUCUGGAAAAGGCGACCACAGUGGAAAGAGUGAUCCACACAAGUAUAGGGCCUCCUGAUUAAAACACUAAGAUUUCAUCUCACGCUGUGCCUUUAUACUGUUGAGAUACUAAAGAGGACACUAAAGAUCAAAGUGCUACUUUACAACAUUUUGAAGAAAACAACUGCUACCUGUGUAUUAGUUUGUGCAGAUGUGUUACACAGCUUAGCUGUGUCUGUACCAGUUUAUUAGAAUCAAAGUAUUUUUAAAGUACCUAAGGCCAGGCACAGUGGCUCACACCUGUAAUCCCAGCACUUUGGGAGGCUGAGGCAAGUGGAUCACUUGAGAUCAGGAAUUCAAGACCAGCCUGGCCAACAUGGUGAAACCCCAUCUCUACUAAAAAUACAAAAAUUAGCCAGGCAUGGUGUCACAUGCCUGUAAUCCCAGUGACUCAAGAGGCUGAGGUAUGAGAAUCAAUCGUUUGAACUCAGAAGGAGAGGUUGCAGUGAGUGGAGAUAGCAACACUGUACUCCAGCCUGGGUGACAGAGUGAGAUCCAGUCUCAAAAAAAAAAAAAAAAAAAAAAAAAGUACCUAAAACUUGUGAUAUGGUUUGGCCUUGUCCCCACCCAAAUCUCAUAUUGAAUUGAAUUAUGGGGAGAGGUCUUUCCUGCGCUGUUCUUAUGAUAGUGAAUGAGUUUCAUGAGAUCUGAUGGUUUUAAAAAUGGGAGUUUCCCUGCACAAGCUCUCUUUUGUUGCCUGCUGCCAUCCACGUAAGAUGUGACUUGCUCCUCUUUACCUUCCACCAUGAUUUUGAGGCCUCCCCAGUCCUGUGGAACUGUAAG